AGCAGCCGCGGUAAUUCCAGCUCCAAUAGCGUAUAUUAAAGUUGUUGCAGUUAAAAAGCUCGUAGUUGAAUUUCGGAACUAGUAGGUUGGUCGUGCCUUCGGUACGUACUGACCUUACCGGUUUCUCCCUUCUGACGAACCAUAAUGCCAUUAAUUUGGUGUUGUGGGGAAUCAGGACUGUUACUUUGAAAAAACUUAGAGUGUUUAAAGCAAGCUUUAAGCUUGAAUAGAUUAGCAUGGAAUAACGAAAUAGGACGUUUGAUCCUAUUUUGUUGGUUUCUAGGAUCGACGUAAUGAUUAAUAGGGAUAGUUGGGGGUCAUUAGUAUUCAAUUGUCAGAGGUGAAAUUCUUGGAUUUAU
rnacentral:sRNA from 1 species